rnacentral:rRNA from 1 species
AUUGAACGCUGGCGGCAUGCUUUACACAUGCAAGUCGAACGGUAACAGGCCGCAAGGUGCUGACGAGUGGCGAACGGGUGAGUAAUGCAUCGGAACGUGCCCAGUCGUGGGGGAUAACGCAGCGAAAGCUGUGCUAAUACCGCAUACGAUCUGUGGAUGAAAGCGGGGGACCUUCGGGCCUCGCGCGAUUGGAGCGGCCGAUGUAGGAUUAGGUAGUUGGUGGGGUAAAGGCUCACCAAGCCGACGAUCUGUAGCUGGUCUGAGAGGACGACCAGCCACACUGGGACUGAGACACGGCCCAGACUCCUACGGGAGGCAGCAGUGGGGGAUUUUGGGCAAUGGGCGCAAGCCUGAUCCAGCAAUGCCGCGUGCAGGAAGAAGGCCUUCGGGUUGUAAACUGCUUUUGUACGGGGCGAAAAGGCUCCCUCUAAUACAGGGGGCUCAUGACGGUACCGUAAGAAUAAGCACCGGCUAACUACGUGCCAGCCGCCGCAGUAAAAC